rnacentral:lncRNA from 1 species
AUGGCUCACAAGUCUCUGUCUAGCCUGUUUGAGUCCAGGUAUCCUGAGAGGGACAACCAGGAGCAGAUUGCACAGUCAGAGAACGAGGAGGUAAAAACCAAGCAGUCCUGGAGGAAGUUGAAACGGUCUAAGGAAGCAGAACUUUGCAAAAGAACUCUAUCGGUUCCUGGGAUGGUCUGUGACAAGUCCAUACAUCAGAGCCAUAUCGAUUGUGCCUUCUGUGCUCCUCAGAACAGGUCCAGACUUAAUAGCUCACCAGCUUCCCAAAAGAGUUUGAGGAACACUUGCCAUUCUGAUUCACAGAGUUUGAAAUCUUGUCCUCAGGAACAGUCUGAAGACAGAAAAUAUCUGGAAGGAGGUGAGCUGCCUUGUGCUCCUUACUUAGAUUCUUACCAGAUCUCAGAAGAUGGCUUCGAGUCCAGUGUAGAGGAUAGGUCGCAAUCACCUGUACACCCAACUGUUUUUGCACUUGCAAACCAGAUGUCACCUACCUGGACCAGAUCUUUAAGCUGUUUUGAGACCACUGAUACGCCAACAAGGCCCAUGAGCCCUAAACCUCACAGUCCUGGUCUGGGCUGGACACACCGGAGGAGCUUCCGUUACCCCUCGAGAUCUGUUGCAUCUUCUCUCUGUUCGCUCGGUCAAGGAGUGAGCACUGACGGUAUCUCUGAUCCACCUCAGAGACCGACGUCUCUGAAACCAAGAACAGCACAACUCACAACAACCCACUCUUUUGAUUCUGAGUCCUUACUAGAGGACAGCAGUUCAGACAGCCAGUCUCAAAAUAGCCUGAAUUCAGCAUCCCUGAUCAACAAACCAGAGCAUGUACAGCACAGUACUGAGCCAGCCAUCCAGUCAGAAGAGAGAAGACAACAGGGAAGUGCAUGUGUGCUUCGGGUGAAGUCCAGACAGCAGGGUAAAGCUGCACCCAGACCCGUCUCAGACAUCUACGGUUGGACCGUGUCUCUUCAGGGCAUCAGGGAGGUGGCGCUUGAUCUGGAGAGGAAGAGCAAUUCGACCAAAACACGUCGGCGUUCAUGCUCAUAUGAAACAUUGACUGAUGUGGAGAACAUCCAUAAAAAGAAGCUUAACAUGCGGCAAAGUUUGCGUCAGCUUAGCACACCAACAUCUCAGAAGCACAAGAAAGUGCGUGCCAGACUUUCCCUCACUUCUCCAGAGCAGUUCCCCUCUGUUCCUCUCAAAGACCACUUCUUCUCCCAGAGCACACCUGUUGGGCUGGACUUUUUGGGCUGGCCUCACCGUGCAUCAUUUUCAGGGGGCAAUGGUUACCUUCAUUCUGCAACCUUUGAUAACCCUCUGUGAGUUAUUUAUAGUUCUGUUUGUGACAGUCGGAGCCCAGAGACUCACAGACGUCUUUGAUGUAAAUUUAUAGUCUUUCAUCUUCAAACACUAACCCAUAUGCGUUAAGAUACCUGGACAUAAAUCUAAGGAGGUCCUUGCUCAGCUGCAGUCACAAACAAACAGUACAUCUGUGAUGAGAGAUGAAUUCCACCUACAGCGUGUGAUUUCUUAAGAAGAAGCUUUAUUCAGUCGUGUGUGCACGUAGCGGGAGCACAGAGGCUAUCUUUGUGCAGUAAUGCAUGGAGCUCAAAGGCCGCCAAGUGCUGAUCCUCUCUCUUUCUGCCAAACAAUCCUGCUGAUUAUUUCUCACCCACUCACUGGCGCCAGGCCCUCUCUCGCUCGCUCUCUGAGUGUAGAGGUA